GGCGUGAUACAUCGCGGCGGUUCGUGAUCAGACGUGAGCAGCCUCAUGAGUGCGUCUUCAUCUGCCCUCACCUUCACGUGAUGAGUGUGCUUGGCGAUGAAACGUGACUGUCCAAGGGUGUCACAAGGACUUCGUAGAUGCCUCCAUGCAGGAUGCAGCCAAACAAGAGUGCCGCCGCAACUCCGGUUGUGAUCAGGAGGCGCGAACUUAGCGAGAACAUGCAAGAGGGCGGCUGGCAUGGUGGCUGGGGUCUGGAGCACCGAAGCUACGCCUAUACGCUUCAUGGCCGAUGAGUAAACAAGCGGCACCACAUCAACGCACUUCGCCGGCCUGGAGAGAGCCCGCGGUGGACACUGCGUCCGGCGCCGUCCCCUGAAGUCGUUCGACUGCAGUCGAUGUUGACGAUGUCUCUCUCCUGGAAAACUUGGCUGAGUUUGCUCAGGACCGUCCUGCCGUCCCUGUAGA